rnacentral:rRNA from 1 species
UUGAUCCUGGCUCAGAAUCAACGCUGGCGGCGUGCCUCAGACAUGCAAGUCGAACGAUUAAAGCUCUCUUCGGAGAGUGUAUAGAGUGGCGCACGGGUGUGUAACACGUAAGUAAUCUACCUUUGAGUGGGGAAUAACAGUCGGAAACGUCUGCUAAUACCGCAUAAUGCAGCGGCAUCGCAAGAUGACAGUUGUUAAAUAUUUAUCGCUUGAAGAGGAGCUUGCGGCAGAUUAGCUAGUUGGUAAGGUUAUGGCUUACCAAGGCUACGAUCUGUAACCGGUCUAAGAGGACGGUCGGUUACACUGACACUGAAUAACGGGUCAGACUCCUACGGGAGGCAGCAGUCGGUAAUUUUGGGCAAUGGGCGAAAGCCUGACCCAGCAACGCCGCGUGAAGGAUGAAGUAUUUCGGUAUGUAAACUUCGAAAGAAUGGGAAGAAUAAAUGACGUUACCAUUUAUAAGGUCCGGCUAACUACGUGCCAGCAGCCGCGGUAAAAGUU